UACAGAGGUCUCAAGCGUUGUUCGGAUUCAUUGGGCGUAAAGGGUGCGUAGGUGGCGCUGUAAGUCAGGUGUGAAAUUUCGGAGCUUAACUCCGAAACUGCAUUUGAUACUGCGGUGCUUGAGGACUGGAGAGGAGACUGGAAUUUACGGUGUAGCAGUGAAAUGCGUAGAGAUCGCAAGGAAGACCAGUGGCGAAGGCGGGUCUCUGGACAGUUCCUGACACUGAGGCACGAAGGCCAGGGGAGCAAACGGG
rnacentral:rRNA from 1 species